GCUCAGUUGGCUCAGUUGGUAGAGCAUGGUGUUUGCAACGCCAGGGUUGUGGGUUCGAUUCCCACGGGGCA
rfam:Salmo salar isolate Sally breed double haploid chromosome ssa14, whole genome shotgun sequence.